rnacentral:lncRNA from 1 species
AGGGAGGUGGAGAUGGCGCCGAUGAAGCUGUACGGGAUGAUGCUGUCGCCCAACGUGACCCGCGUGGCCACCGUGCUCAACGAGCUCGGCCUCGACUUCGAGUUCGUCAGCGUCGACCUCCGCACCGGCGCCCACAAGCAGCCCGACUUCCUCAAGCUCAACGUACGCCCCCCCUCCCUCCCCUGCUUCGUCCUAGUACUAGUUCGUCGUCAAGAUCCAGGGAAGGCGCUGAUUUUGUUUGCCUCGCUUCUCUGGUUGGUUCUGUGCAGCCUUUCGGCCAGAUCCCGGCGCUGCAGGACGGGGACGAAGUUGUCUUCGGUAACGACUCUCAUCCCAUCUCCUCUCAUUAUUCACCCAGAUCUGGUUUCGUAGAUGCGCACCAGUCUCACUAGGAUCUAGAUUUACUGACGCCGGGUCACCGGCCAGCACACGGCUCUCUGUAACUGUGUUAGUAUAUUGUUCUUCUCUUUUAUACUGUACUAAUUUUAUUUUAUCAUCCGCCGAUCUAUCCAAACUUAUGGUAGUAGAGCACACAUUUUCCUCCAAAAAGUUACUAGAAUAUACUUGUAAUUUAUCCGAGAUUUAAAAGAAGAUCGCGAGGAUUUGGUCCAUAACAAAUCAAGCAAGACUGCCAGUGAACAGAUCUGGAGUACUACGUAGCGACGAACUAGUCGAGCAGAGGUUGAGAUAAACCCCCGAAAUAAUGAAGGAAAGAAUUUUGGUUGCAGAGUCGCGCGCCAUCAACCGGUACAUCGCGACCAAGUACGGGGCGGCGGAGCUGCUGCCGACGCCGUCGGCCAAGCUGGAGGUGUGGCUGGAGGUGGAGUCGCACCACUUCUACCCGCCGGUGCGCGCCCUGGUGUACGAGCUGCUCAUCAAGCCCAUGCUGGGCGCCCCCACCGACGCCGCCGAGGUGAACAAGAACGCCGCCGACCUCGACAAGCUGCUCGACGUCUACGAGGCCCACCUCGCCGCCGGGAACAAGUACCUCGCCGGCGACGCCUUCACGCUCGCCGACGCCAACCACAUGUCCUACCUCUUCAUGCUCACCAAGAGCCCCAAGGCGGACCUGGUGGCCUCCCGCCCGCACGUCAAGGCCUGGUGGGACGAGAUCUCGGCCCGCCCCGCCUGGGCCAAGACCGUCGCCUCCAUCCCCCUCCCGCCCGGCGUCUGAGGUCGCCGAUGCCGGUUCUGCUUCCUUGUUUAGCUGCGGCGAGAAUGGAAUAAAAUUGUGAUGGAACAAACGACUUUUUAGAAAAUGAGCUUCGAAUUCUUGGUGUUUGCUGCUGUU